rnacentral:rRNA from 1 species
CAGUAGCGUAUAUUAAAGUUGUUGCAGUUAAAAUGCUCGUAGUUGAAGUUCGGAUGCAGCAGAGCUUGGAAACGCUGUUAUGGUGCUUCCGUUGCUUUUGCUUGUCCACAGUGCGUUGCAAGUACGUAUGUGCUUGUGCGUGCAUUUUACUUUGAGAAACAUAGGUUGUUCCACGCAUGUUACGGCAUGAAUAUUCCAGCAUGGGAUAAUCUGGUACGACUUCCAAUCUGCCAUUUUGGUUCGUAGGUUGGAAGUAAUGAUUAAUAGGGACUGUCGGGGGCAUUGGUAUUUGACUGUCAGAGGUGAAAUUCUUAGAUUCGUUGAGGACCAACCACUGCGAAAGCAUUUGUCAAGGAUGUCUCCAUUAA